AUUGAACGCUGGCGGCAUGCCUUACACAUGCAAGUCGAACGGUAACAGGUCUUCGGAUGCUGACGAGUGGCGAACGGGUGAGUAAUACAUCGGAACGUGCCCGAUCGUGGGGGAUAACGGAGCGAAAGCUUUGCUAAUACCGCAUACGAUCUACGGAUGAAAGCAGGGGACCGCAAGGCCUUGCGCGGACGGAGCGGCCGAUGGCAGAUUAGGUAGUUGGUGGGAUAAAAGCUUACCAAGCCGACGAUCUGUAGCUGGUCUGAGAGGACGACCAGCCACACUGGGACUGAGACACGGCCCAGACUCCUACGGGAGGCAGCAGUGGGGAAUUUUGGACAAUGGGCGAAAGCCUGAUCCAGCCAUGCCGCGUGCAGGAUGAAGGCCUUCGGGUUGUAAACUGCUUUUGUACGGAACGAAAAGACUCCUUCUAAUACAGGGGGUCCAUGACGGUACCGUAAGAAUAAGCACCGGCUAACUACGUGCCAGCCGCCGCUGUAA
rnacentral:rRNA from 1 species